rnacentral:lncRNA from 1 species
GAAGAGGACCGUGUGUGCCCGACAGUGGUUGGACACCAGCAAGAGACAGAGUCGCUUAGCGGGGAUCUUCAUUCCCCUACGGCCUUCCCUGCCCCUGCCUGGCACCCUCCAGCUGGAGAUGAAGGAUGGCUCUGGGGAAACUCCAUUCUGUAAUUCAUUUAAGCGGGAUCAGCAGAACUCCUGCCCUGGAAGAUUCGGACCAGAACACCAGGCGUUGGGAAUCUCCAUGGGGUCUCGCAGGUCCACGGGAGACAGGAAAGAAAGACCAGGCGUCAGGCAAUGUGGGAUUCAGCCAGCCGGCUCUAACACCAAAAAGCCACCAGACCUGAUGGCGCAACAGAUGAAAUGAGCCAGUGAAGGAAGAGGUUGAAGAUGCUGAGACAGCGGGAAGGAGCUAGAGUGAGGUCUCCUGGGAAGGCAGUGGAGGUGAAAUCCAGCAGGCAGAGGACCUAGUCCCAGAUGGAAGGAUGGCGGAAGAGGUGGGUACUUCAGGGGACUGCGCGGGGCAGGGGGUGAGAAUGCGGGAGGAGCUGUGGAACUGGUGAGGGAAAGCAAAAUGGAAGGAGGAGGCUGGUUUUGAGGUUUGAGGAAAGGGGAGUCUCCUCAAAUCCCUUUGGUGUCUCUUUCCCCAGCCCCCUGGGGUCAGAGUGCCCACCUGCUGCCUUUAUCUUCAAGCUUUGUCCUUCCAUCCUUACCUGUCCCUUAGCUCCCUUUACGGAUCAUCAUUUCAGCUUCUCAGUCUGGCUUACGAGGUGUCAGAGGGAAGCAAUUGGAUUUAACAAAUUUAUGCUCAAGUCGGAAUGACAGAUGGCUCAUAACCCUAUUUGAGGCAUUUGCAGUUCUGUAGAAAGGAUCUUGUUCACCUAAAUAAACCUCAUAUUCAAGGGUUUUUGAAUAGAGGAAUAAAUGCAGUGAAUGGUUUUAGGCAGCGGGCCAGGAUAACUAUCUGGAGUCUGCUUCCAAAGGUACCUUUUAUCAGCAAAGCAAUCUCAAGGACAAAUGCCAAGGAAACAGAAAAGUCUGUGGAGGAGACUUUGUGCAGACAUCUUCUGGAUGUGGACGGAACAAGAUGCCCGGAACACGUUUUUGCCUGCUCUCCCAGCUUGACCUCUUCCAGGCACUGGAAUGUCCCAGAGUCUGGAGAUUGUGGCUCCAGAAACAACCAAUCCAGUGAAAGCUGGCGAGCAUGGUGAGCCUGGCUUCCACACAGCAUAGCAGCUCCCACCGCGUUAGGUGGCACACAUAAGGUAUAAAACAAUGUGCUGGUGAGAGUUAGAAUUGACCUCCCAGACGGUGCCCAGAGAGGACCAUGGUAGCAGUUUGCAAUAGGUCAGCGUGAAAGUGCCCUUUAUUUCAUCCGUCUGUUACUGCAGCCUCUUACAUUGGAACUAUUCAAAUGUGUUAGGCCUGAGAAGUCUUUUUACCUAUCUGUGAGCUGUAUUCAAAAAGGCUCCCUGUUCGUUGGGCCCCAGGGGUGCAUUAACACACAUAAAAUCUCUACUUUUAAGAACCCUGAUGUCUCUUAGCUUAUGUGCUCAGAUGUGGAGUUAAAGAUCUUUGCGGUGUGAAUCAGAAACCAGUUUUUAAAAAUUGUUUUGUGUGUGUGUGUAUGUGUGUAUGUGUGUGUGUGUAGGGAAAACAUGCUCAUUGUAGGGAGCCUGGAAAACACAAAAAAUU